rnacentral:rRNA from 1 species
UACGGGGGGGGCAAGCGUUGUUCGGAAUUACGGGGCGUAAAGGGCGCGUAGGCGGUUUGCUAAGUUGGAUGUGAAAACUCUGGGCUUAACCCAGAGCCUGCAUCCAAAACUGGCAAACUUGAGUACUGGAGGGGAAAGCGGAAUUCCUGGUGUAGCGGUGAAAUGCGUAGAUAUCAGGAGGAACACCGGUGGCGAAGGCGGCUUUCUGGACAGUAACUGACGCUGAGGCGCGAAAGCUAGGGGAGCAAACAGG